rnacentral:rRNA from 1 species
UUAGGAAUUUUGGGCAAUGGGCGGAAGCCUGACCCAGCAACGCCGCGUGGGUGAUGAAGGCCCUCGGGUCGUAAAGCCCUUUUCCCAGGGAAGAUAGUGACGGUACCUGGGGAAUCAGCCCCGGCUAACUACGUGCCAGCAGCCGCGGUAAUACGUAGGGGGCAAGCGUUGUCCGGAUUUAUUGGGCGUAAAGCGCUCGCAGGUGGUCCGCUGCGUCGUGCGUGAAAGACCCCGGCUCAACUGGGGGAUGUCGUGCGAUACGGGCGGACUGGAGGCCAGUAGGGGGAUGCGGAAUUCCGGGUGUAGUGGUGGAAUGCGUAGAGAUCCGGAGGAACACCGGCGGCGAAGGCGGCAUCCUGGACUGGUCCUGACACUCAGGAGCGAAAGCGUGGGGAGCGAUCCGG